UGUGCAUUUACCGCCUGUCCAGUGUCCAUCUACAUUUGUUUCCUUUGGUGGAUCUCCAACUCAGUUUCCCCUUUCCAGUCAGCGCCGCCUCUAGGGUUUCACCUUCUCACCCUCCUGAUGUAUUGUCUGGCUCUGUCCGAUCUGCGUGCUGGUUGGGACAAACAGACCGUUUGCGCCCGUGUGUCUCGCCUAUGGCAUUACCGUGGUGGUUUAGAGAAUGGACUUGUCAAGCUUCUGCACAUGAUCCUCAUCGGCGCUCAUGUGCGAUCCAGGACUCUUUAGAAAUGUAUCGCUUUUGUUUUGUGUUAGUCUAUGUCUGAUGCAGCACGAAACUGUUAUAGGGUAACCAUGGCUAUGCAGUUGUUCCGACAGAUUUUCUUGUCACUUAUAUUGAUAUGCUGCAUGAAGGCGUGGUGUAUGAGUUCAGUCGUUUCAGCGUGAUGUCUUCAUCAUGAACCCCGUCGAUGCGUCGUUGAUGAUCCAAUUUACACAAUUUACAAUUGUGAAGAAUUUUUUCGAUUUAUUUAAUGGUAUUACUAUUUGUCAUGAGCUAGGGUCCAAGGAAUUAUCUGGUGGAUGUGCUUGCAAAUGAUAUGUUAACCAUGAUAUACCAGAUAUAAACAUAUUUAGGAGCAGGCUCCCAGUCAUCUUCCCUGCCAUUGAGCAUCUUCCUGCACCGUUGAAGAUUAUUCUCCAGGUCCAACAUGCCGAUGUGCAUCCAAUGGUGUUAUUGACCCACCUCAUAAACAUCAACUUAUACCAAAAGGAGGCGGGAACCUUCCGAUGCAAUGUGGUGAUUACCAGGGUUUCACAUUUGAAAAAAUGGUGGGCUACCUUCUGUGCAGACUGCCAUCACAUAUCCAUGCCAGCUACAACAUCGCUUACCCAGCCAGAUGUUUAUAUGUGCUCUCGUCGGUCUUGUUCAUGCACCAGCGCUACAAUUGGAUGAGAACAAUUCAAUGUUAUAUCAAUCAAUGGUCAUUUGCUCUCCCUGCUCAUUUCAUCUAUGUUAAUGUUGAGGUACACAUUGUUUGUCCUUGCGAAAGAUCGAAGUGGAGAGGCUGAAUUUGAAUUGUUUGGCACAAGGGCUCAACAAAUCAUCGGUCGAUCUGCUAGUCAGGUCCUUCGCAACAGCACUCGCAUGGCCCUGCUAUUCCCAAUGUUCAUGUAGUGGCCUCAAUGCUAAGGAAAACCCCGCCUGAACUCAGUGGUCUCCUUUCCAUGAGAUGUAAGUUUGUUGUUCGUGCAUCGCCUGAAAGUUUCUUUGGAAGGUGGCCGGCGUUCCAUGUUGAUGCUAUCGAGUCCUUUGAGCCCGUCAAAUCGAACCUUUCUAUGAUAGAUUUGCUUACGCCAUCAUGAAGUGAUGCACGCAAGGAACUUCUUAUGAGAUCAGUGUGGAUGUUCCCUAGAGCUGAUUUUCGGUCUCCUGGAUGAUCUCUAGAUCUUUUGAUAAUGAACCUUUUUAUUAGUAGGAUUGUAAAUAUAUCGGUUCUGUAAACAGUAUUGUAUUAACUAUGACAAUAUGGUCUUUUGCCUUGGGACUAGGCUGCUGUUGAAAACAUGGUUAAAUAUAAUGUUCAUGUGUGUUUCCUUUCA